ensembl:lncRNA
UGUUAGGUGGUAGUAACUAUCUAACUGUCUGUUAGGUGGCAGUAACUGUCUGUUAGGUGGCAGUAACUGUCUGUUAGGUGGCAGUAACUGUCUGUUAGGUGGUAGUAACUGUCUGUUAGGUGGUAGUAACUAUCUGCUAGGUGGUAGUAACUGUCUGUUAGGUGGUAGUAACUGUCUGCUAGCUGGUAGUAACUGUCUGCUAGGUGGUAGUAACUGUCUGUUAGGUGGUAGUAACUGUCUGCUAGGUGGUAGUAACUGUCUGCUAGGUGGUAGUAACUG